GGCCGGAGUCAGAGGAAACGCCCUAGACCCAGGAUUCCACCCGAUUGGCUGGAAAUGACCGAUGCUAGAAGACGUAUUGGAUGAGCUCCCUGUCGAUCAUUUUGACGUCAUAAAGGGUCCCCUGGCUGCUUUUUAUAGGAACUGUCCCAGCAAGUGAAGACAUUUGUUCACAGUCACACAGCAAACCGUACAUCCCAUGUUCCCAGUACUUAUCACACGCUGGUCAGGCUUCUGGCAAAGCCACACACUACAGAGUGAAGAUGUGUUCAGAAGUUCUCACAGGGGUCAGACCUGGUGCCACCAUGGAAAAAAAUGAAUUCUUUUGUUUCUAAAUACUUAGCCUAAGUGGCUAGCUGAUUUUUAGCUGUGAGACUUACUUGCAAACUUAAGAAUUCAUGCAAACCAAAAACCUGUCUAACUGGAUUCUCCUCUUUACUGGGAUGAGAACAUUUUGUGACUGCAAGAACCUGCAAGUCUGCUGGAAGGAAGGGAGGAAAGAAGGAAGGAAAAAAAGAACAGAACAAACAAGAGCCUACAGAAGAAGAGGAUAAAAUGGAAAUGUUUGGAGAGGUUUUUAAAGUUCAGUCUUUCAGGGUUUGUACAAGGGAAGAAUGACAAAAACCCACUUCAAGUACCCAUUAGUGGUUGCAUGGUUACAGGAAAUGUGUAUUGCUGCUUUGGAAUGCCAUUAAAAAGAAGGAUGAAGUUAUUUGCA